rnacentral:rRNA from 1 species
AUUGAACGCUGGCGGCAGGCCUAACACAUGCAAGUCGAGCGAGCGGCGGACGGGUGAGUAAUGUAUGGGGACUGCCCGAUAGAGGGGGAUAACUACUGGAAACGGUGGCUAAUACCGCAUACUAUCGGAUAACCCAUAUGGGAUUAGCUAGUAGGUGGGGUAAAGGCUCACCUAGGCGACGAUAUCUAGAUGGUGUGAGAGGAUAAGCGGACAAACGGGGACGGAGGAACGGCCCGGACUCCUACGGAGGAAGCAGUGGGGAAUAUUGCACAAUGGGCGUAAGCCUGAUGGAGCCAGGCCGCGUGUAUGAAGAAGGCCUUAGGGUUGUAAAGUACUUUCAGCGGGGAGGCGUUACCCGCAGAAGAAGCACCGGCUAGCUCCGUGCCAGCAGCCGCGGUAAUUC